UGCAGAAUCCCGUGAACCAUCGAGUCUUUGAACGCAAGUUGCGCCCCAAGCCAUUAGGCCGAGGGCACGUCUGCCUGGGUGUCACGC
rnacentral:rRNA from 6 species